rnacentral:rRNA from 1 species
CUACGGGUGGCAGCAGUGGGGAAUAUUGCACAAUGGACGAAAGUCUGAUGCAGCAACGCCGCGUGGAGGAUGACACAUUUCGGUGCGUAAACUCCUUUUAUAUAGGAAGAUAAUGACGGUACUAUAUGAAUAAGCGCCGGCCAACUCCGUGCCAGCAGCCGCGGUAGAUACGGAGGGCGCAAGCGUUACUCGGAAUCACUGGGCGUAAAGAGCGUGUAGGCGGAUAGAUAAGUCAGGAGUGAAAUCCUAUGGCUCAACCAUAGAACUGCUCUUGAAACUGUCUAUCUAGAAUAUGGGAGAGGUAGAUGGAAUUUCUGGUGUAGGGAUAAAAUCCGUAGAGAUCAGAAGGAAUACCGAUUGCGAAGGCGAUCUACUGGAACAUUAUUGACGCUGAGACGCGAAAGCGUGGGGAGCAAACAGGAUUAGAUACCCUGGUAGUC